UUUAGUGUGGUAAAUCACCUUGCGGAUUUUUCUUUGAAACGAUCGUCAACCGGUUUGAUUAACGACACAUCAAGUCCAGUGACAGCCCACCUAAGUCUGUUACCAUCUGCAAGAUUUCCUGGCACAGAUAACACACCAGAUCCAGUGUUCAGUUCAACAAGUCAUUCGAUACUAAAUUUAGACCACCGACCACAGACAAACUUUCAUCACACGAGAGGUGUGAAUCUUACACGGGAGGGGAUACAAGUUCUGUUCUCUGGCCUCUACUACAUCUACAGCAACGUCAACUUUAAUCCAAACACAACUCGUUACUCGGCAGACUUCACAUAUCAGACGUGGUUCCAGUACGUCCACCGUCACUCAGCCCACAGCCCUGUGUUAUCUGGUGUCUUGUUGAGAACUGUUCACACAACUUGUGCCAACUGUACACACAGCCAGGAAACUUCCUACACAGGUGGUGUCUUUUACCUCCAACAAUACGACAUCAUCCAAGUUUGUGUGUCAGGACAAGGACUUAUUGACUUUCAACCUGGGCUGACAUACCUAGGUCUGAUUCUUUUAAACAAUAAGUAAUGGUGAGUUUACGUUUUAUUUUAUUUACGGUUUUAAAAUAAAUUAAGUUCUGUUAAUUUCAUCUAAUCCUAAACAAUAUAUUGCUUACUACUUCACUUUGAAAUGUAUAGAAUAAAAUAAAGAAUACAGUGAAGCAUGUACCAAUCACAAUAUAAGAUUUAUAUUAUCACUAAAAAUCUAGCUGUGUUUAGAUGCGUGUUUUUAAAGCUGACAUAACUGGGAUAAAAAAAAACUGGUUUGACAAAUCUGCAACAAAUUCAUUCGAUAUAAAAGGACAAAUUCAUGCUUGGUUUUAUGUCCUUCAGCCUGUGAAUAAAUAAAAGGAAUGUUAUGUGUGUCACAUCUCCAGCCUACACUCGUGUAGCAUACCUAGACAACCUUUACGUGUAAACAAUGUACGUCCUUACAGAGUCGGCGGUGUGCAUCACCUG